rnacentral:rRNA from 1 species
UGGGGAAUAUUGGACAAUGGGCGAAAGCCUGAUCCAGCCAUGCCGCGUGUGUGAAGAAGGUCUUCGGAUUGUAAAGCACUUUAAGUUGGGAGGAAGGGCAGUAAGCGAAUACCUUGCUGUUUUGACGUUACCGACAGAAUAAGCACCGGCUAACUCUGUGCCAGCAGCCGCGGUAAUACAGAGGGUGCAAGCGUUAAUCGGAAUUACUGGGCGUAAAGCGCGCGUAGGUGGUUCGUUAAGUUGAAUGUGAAAGCCCCGGGCUCAACCUGGGGACUGCAUCCAAAGAUGGCGAGCUAGAGUAGGGCAGAGGGUGGUGGAAUUUCCUGUGUAGCGGUGAAAUGCGUAGAUAUAGGAAGGAACACCAGUGGCGAAGGCGACCACCUGGGCUCAUACUGACACUGAGGUGCGAAAGCGUGGGGAGCAAACAGG